GAUGAACGCUGGCGGCGUGCUUAACACAUGCAAGUCGAACGGUGAAGCAGAGCUUGCUCUGUGGAUCAGUGGCGAACGGGUGAGUAACACGUGAGCAACCUGCCCCUGACUCUGGGAUAAGCGCUGGAAACGGCGUCUAAUACUGGAUAUGAGCUGCGAUCGCAUGAUCAGCAGUUGGAAAGAUUUUUCGGUCUGGGAUGGGCUCACGGCCUAUCAGCUUGUUGGUGAGGUAAUGGCUCACCAAGGCGUCGACGGGUAGCCGGCCUGAGAGGGUGACCGGCCACACUGGGACUGAGACACGGCCCAGACUCCUACGGGAGGCAGCAGUGGGGAAUAUUGCACAAUGGGCGAAAGCCUGAUGCAGCAACGCCGCGUGAGGGAUGACGGCCUUCGGGUUGUAAACCUCUUUUAGCAGGGAAGAAGCGAAAGUGACGGUACCUGCAGAAAAAGCGCCGGCUAACUACGUGCCAGCAGCCGCGGUAAUACGUAGGGCGCAAGCGUUAUCCGGAAUUAUUGGGCGUAAAGAGCUCGUAGGCGGUUUGUCGCGUCUGCUGUGAAAUCCCGAGGCUCAACCUCGGGUCUGCAGUGGGUACGGGCAGACUAGAGUGCGGUAGGGGAGAUUGGAAUUCCUGGUGUAGCGGUGGAAUGCGCAGAUAUCAGGAGGAACACCGAUGGCGAAGGCAGAUCUCUGGGCCGUUACUGACGCUGAGGAGCGAAAGGGUGGGGAGCAAACAGGCUUAGAUACCCUGGUAGUCCACCCCGUAAACGUUGGGAACUAGUUGUGGGGUCCAUUCCACGGAUUCCGUGACGCAGCUAACGCAUUAAGUUCCCCGCCUGGGGAGUACGGCCGCAAGGCUAAAACUCAAAGGAAUUGACGGGGACCCGCACAAGCGGCGGAGCAUGCGGAUUAAUUCGAUGCAACGCGAAGAACCUUACCAAGGCUUGACAUAUACGAGAACGGGCCAGAAAUGGUCAACUCUUUGGACACUCGUAAACAGGUGGUGCAUGGUUGUCGUCAGCUCGUGUCGUGAGAUGUUGGGUUAAGUCCCGCAACGAGCGCAACCCUCGUUCUAUGUUGCCAGCACGUAAUGGUGGGAACUCAUGGGAUACUGCCGGGGUCAACUCGGAGGAAGGUGGGGAUGACGUCAAAUCAUCAUGCCCCUUAUGUCUUGGGCUUCACGCAUGCUACAAUGGCCGGUACAAAGGGCUGCAAUACCGCGAGGUGGAGCGAAUCCCAAAAAGCCGGUCCCAGUUCGGAUUGAGGUCUGCAACUCGACCUCAUGAAGUCGGAGUCGCUAGUAAUCGCAGAUCAGCAACGCUGCGGUGAAUACGUUCCCGGGUCU
rnacentral:rRNA from 1 species